UCAGGCAGUCCCAAAAUAUUAGUCAAUGCUCGAAAGAGUGAACUAGCUAACUGAAAUCAAUUAUAAUAAUUGAUAACAUAAGGGAAAAUAAUGAUAUUACCUUAUUAUUAGUGUCGUCCAAAUCUGGUGCCAGAAGACUCGGUAAGGCCAGAGACACAAACGUUAAUCGUCUUAAUCAGGCGUAAAGGGUUUGUAGGCGGCUUUAAAAUUUACUUAUAAAUAAAUAAAAUAAGUAAAGAAUAAAAGCUAGAAUCAAAUAGAGGAUAUAUUAAAUAAUGCUUAGAGUAGGUCUGAUAUCCAUAGAUACUAAGUAGAAUAUUAAAGGCGAAAGCUUUUUUCCAUUAAUGAUUGACGCUCAGAAACGAAGGUGAGGAUAGGAAAUAGGAUUAGAUACCCAGAAUACCCCUCUCUGUCAACGAUGAAUGGUAGUUAUUAGUAAACAAAAUUAUUAAUGGCAAUGUUAACACGAUAACCAUUCCGCCUUGUGAGUACAACUGCAAAGUUGAAAACAAAAAAAUUAGUCGGUUUCGGAGCAAACGAAGUGAAGCAUGUUAUUUAAAUCGAUUAAUCCGC
rnacentral:rRNA from 1 species